rnacentral:lncRNA from 1 species
AAUACAUUCAGAAAACACUUACUGAACAUUUAUGAUGUGUCAGACACUGUGUUAGAAACUUGGGAGGCAAAGCUUCUACGUCUAAGAAGCUCAGAGUCAAGUUGGGGGCAGUUUCCUGUGGAACCUGGAAGGAUCAGGAUUCCUGAAAAUUUAAACCAGAACUCAGAUAUUCCAGUAAUUGCUCAUCAAGUGCCCACUAGUAGCUAAGCAUCUGCUACACAACAGCAUACAAAGUCUGGAAGGUCCAAAUUGGAUGUUUACUUGCAGUGAAUAUGUUUUUAAUGGUUUGUUAUAUUCAGAGGAUCAUAACUUCAAAGAUGGUCAUCAAUUAAUUCACAAAGAUAAUGUCAGAAGCAGGAUCCAAAGUGGAGCUUCUAGUGACCCCCAGGAGUGCUGAGUAAACACGCAAGGUACCUGCAGGACCCACUUGUGUCCAUUGAUCUCUCAGAGCAGCUGGGCAUCGUGGGUAAAGACCUUCACAAUCGGGAACCCGUAGAUUGGAUCUUCUGAAAACAUCAGAGAAAGACUAUCUUUGCCAUCCACACUACAGUAAAACUUUGGAGCCUUGAACCUUGGAUUUAUAAUCUCACAACUGAGAAGGGUCCCUCCAUACUCCUGGAACUGUACACCCAUUGGAACUCUUAAGGAUGAUAUACAUGGCCAGGUGAAGACAGUAGAGAGAAAACAGAACUGAAACCAGAGAGCCCUCUACAGAAGGAUGUAAUGGAUAAUUAUUGGUAUACAGUGAGGUUCAUAACCAAAAACAAAAGUUCUCUCCAUGAGACCUGGAAUCUGUAAACUGUCUUCUGGCUAAGGAAUCUGAAACUUAGGAUAAACAACUUGCCUAAUUUCUUAUGAUGGAGAUGUAAUAGUGGUUGGAAUUUGGACCUAUUCCUUCUGAUUCUGGAGCUCACCAGUUAACCACUCUGCUAAACUGCCUCCCCAAGAGGUAAAAAAUAUCUAGUGCUUUCAAGUCCAAAUCACUUUCCAAUAGCAAUAGUUGAUAAUAUCAUGAGCUGCCCAUGCUUCCAGAUGGGGGUAGAUGCUAGUUUGGAGGGAAAGGCUGUGCCAUGGGACAGAAGACUCAAUGAGGAGGGUGAGUAUUACCACAAGCUGGGACCCAUUUGUAAUGGUAUUUAUAGAAGUCUAGGAGCACAGUAUUCAAUUAGCAAAAGCAAACUCCCUAGGUAUUAUAACCCCCUUUUUUUCCUCCCCACUUAUCUUUAUGAGAUUUUGCCUGAGAGAUAGAAUCUAAAAGGAUAAAAAUAGGCUCUUUAAACUUCAGGGAGGAAGCAGUGAUGUUUUCAAUAGACUAUGUUUCCAUCUCCACCCACUCCAAACAAGUUAAGUAUUGUAUGACAUGAAGUCUAGGAAAAGCCUGGCACUCUAUAAAAAAUACUGGGAAAAUUCUGUCCAGCAUGGAAUAUCAGCAGCUUAUUGUACAGCAUAAAGUACUAACUCAGCAUUGACCUGCUCCCAAAAAGGGCAAAAUGAGAAGAAAAGAGCAGUGGAUGAUUGGAAAGAGGGCUCAGAUAUCAGCCCUUUACCUGUUGAAAGGGAUGUGCUAUAGCAAUUUUGCUGGCUUGGCCUGGGGACAUGUGAAAUGGUGGAGGAUGAUUUAGAUGUCUCAGUAUCAACUUUGAUAUCUCUUUACUUCAGGGAAUCACAAGUUCAAAUUCCAGGAGAGUUGGAUCAGCCUUUCCUCUCUGGCAGCCAGGCAAAGCGAGGGUCAUGCGAUCUACUCAGCACUUUGGGAUGUGACUUCAAAACCAAAGAACAAGGUGCACAUUUUGAGAAACGUGUACUCCUUGUUUAUGUGGCUGCUUCUUUAACAGAGUGAGGGAUAUGUACUUACUGGACACAGUUUUGGUUAGCCCAGCAUCACGUUUUUUUCUGGAAACCUCACCCCACUUUUUAUGUGGUUGUAGGAAUUCCCCCACCCCCUGCCAGUACAACGGCUCUUCUUUGGCUCUAGUGGAUUGGAACAGGGCAGGCCCCUCCCAAGAGCCAGUGACCAAGUAUGGUGGGGACAUUGAGGCAGACCUAUUUCUGAGAAACACAGAAAUUUGUUGGGCAACUGUAUUGCCCAACUUUGGCUCAAAAACUCCAUGAUGACUUUGCUGAACUUUCCUUAGACCAUAGACCCACCAAAAAUGUUUCCAACCAAUCUACUCUCUCUCUCUCCUUCCCUUGGGGUUAGGCUUGCCUUGCAAUCUGAUGGCUUUGCCUAUCCUCCCCUAUUUCUGUUCACACAUUAAUUCCCCCUAAUAAAACCCCUGCUCAUUUAACACCUUCUCAUCUUCUGUUUCUUGGAGGACCUCAUCUUAUGCAUCUGGUUUAAAUCCUAGCUCUCCCACACAGUAGUCGUGUGACCUUUGAUAAUCACUACAUUGUGCUGUCCUCAAUUUCCUCUUCUGUAAAAUGAAAGUGUGGGGUAAGAGCACCUACAUCACAGUGGUGUUAUAAUUGGAUGUAAUAACCCUCAGUCAUUUACCUGGCAUGCGGUAUAGUUGUAUGCAGGAGAGUCUACUGUUUAGAAAAACCUUGAACCUAAUUGUUAGCACCAUCAGUCUGUUCUGGCUUGUGUGCUGUAAGAGCCCUCUCUGGGUCUACAUUUGCUCAAGCAUUGAUGUUCUGUAGAGUAAAUUCUGCAUGUUUGUCUCUCCACUAAAACAUAAGUUCCUUGAGAGCAGGUAGCAUAUUUCCUUCACUUCUAUAUCCUCUCCAGAUCCAAGCAAAGUGUUUGAGCAAAGUGGCAAACCAGGAAAUGCUCAUUUAAUGGAUGCGAAUUUCCUGCAGGAAUGAUGGAAUGGAGUUCAGGUCAACAGCAAAUAUUGCAUGGCUGCUUACUUUCUUCCUGUGGUAUUCUCUACAAGGACAAAUAGCACAGAACCCCCUGCCAUCUCAUACAAGUGACAGAUUGUAUAUGCGUUGGCAAGCUUGGGCUUGAAGUUUUUGGUGACACAAGACUGGCUUCUACUUCAGGAGACCAACUUCUUUUUCACAUAGCUCCAAUUUUCAGAGACAUUCUAUAACAAGUGAAGAGAUGAAGGAGAAAACUGGCUUGGGCCCAAUAUUCAGUAUGGUUGGAAACCACUUCAAGGAAGAGGUGCAAAUAUAUUCUAACUUAGAAGGAGGUAAGAAUCAGCAGAAAAGAAGGAAUCUUUGGAGAGCCAAAACCAUCUCUACACCAAAUUGAGAGACUGGAAUUAUAAGGUGAAUGCAAUUAACUGGCAGUCGCAUCCAUGUUGAGAACACAGUCAUCCCUUUAAUAGAGAACAUUUGCUGUGCUUGACAAACUCACAGUGAAAUGGUUGGAUCCAUAGGAAGCAACAUGCUGAAAAUGGUUUCAAUAUGAUCCUGUUUUUUCACUCAAUAGCCAUUGAUUGAGGGUGUCCAGCCAAAAACAAUGAGAAAAUGAGCCAACAAUAGUCUUACCCUUUGACCAUAUUAGAUAAAGUCGCAGCUGAAAUUUGUUAUAUGUUUCAGGAAUAACAAAGCAUCCAUAUGGAACAUAUAUUUGGCAGUGUGGCAGCUGAUGAAACCAGGAAAAUUAGACAAAUUAUCAAUUGCUCGCUCCCAAAUUACCCCAAAAAGAAAUUAGAUCCAUUUUCAGUAGCUUUGCCUUCAAAUUUCUUCAUUCCGUGAGUCACCACUACCUUCUGCCAAACUAAAUAUGUCUAUGAACGGCUGGAAACUUUAAUGGAAAGAAACAUAAAACUCAAACUACGUAGGAAAAUUUAAGCUUCUUCAUGGAAGAUCUUCGUGGAAGACUAGCAAGUUAGGAAUGUGUGAAGACAGACAACACAUCGAUAAUUCCUUUUGUUUGGGGUCACUUCUGAGUUAGAGAGCAAUGCAACAUGCUGGCUUGACUUCAAAUUAAAAUCAGCUUUUUCCUUUAUUUCUUUUGUAAGCCUCCAAUCCCUCAAACUACUAGGGUUUAUUAAGGUACACAGUCCUACAGUCAGGUCGAUCAGAUUUGGGAUAAAGAGACUUCAUGAUGUUAUCCGAUGGAUGGUAGAAAUUAGUAAAUGAAGAUUUCAUGAAUGGCUAAGAGCUUA